UUAGCGUUGAUACUUAGCCUCAUACAUCUCUAUCUUUGAUUGUUGGUUGAUAUUCUGAGUGAUUUUUUAGGGUUUCUUUUUGAGUUAUAUACUUUUCUUCUUCUUCAUAUUUAGUCCCUGUAAUCUUUUGGUGAGAUGUUCUUGAAUGAAUUUAGUGUGCAAUCUAAGAGAUUGUGAGAAGUAUAUUCUGUUGUCAUAGUAGGAAGACGAGAGAAAUUUGAUUUCCUAAUACAUGUCACCUAUUCUUUUGUUGAUUUUAGUGGAUCUAGAGCAAUAUCUACUUAUAGAUGUUCGAUGUGGUUGUUAUGUCGAAGGCUGAACAUCCGUUAAGGGUAAAAAUAAUUCUUCCUAUUCUUGUUAUUUUAAGUUCUACGAUUUAUUUUCUCGUAAACAUUUUUUUAUUUAAACUAGGUUGUAAAAAUUGAUUUGGGACCAACAAAUGAUAUCAGUGCACUUUUCUCUAAAAUCAUGGGUUAUGGUUUUUUUUUUUCCCUCUGAAAACCCAAGUUUUUAAAAAUCAAUUGCUUGAUGCAGAUCUGGAGAUUUUGAGAAGAUUUUGUGAAAAUAAAUUGGUUUUCUGAAAAAGGUAUUUGUUUGAUUAGCUUUCAAUUCAACUUUUGGUUGGAUCCUUUUAAGAUUUUUGUGUCUUUUGGGUUAGAUCUAUCUUGUUCAAUACUCUACUGUUCAUGAGGUUUAAUUUGUUUUUCCUCUUAUGUACCUUUGACUCUCCUUAGAUCUUGAAUCACUACUGAGCCGUGGUUGUACUUGUAACUCAUACUGGAUUCUAGUAAGUUGAAUUGACUCACUCCGAUUCCUAUUGAUUUCUUGACUCACUGACAAGUUCUGCUAAGUCAUUGUGACUUGUUGGGUUCCUUUGUAUUAUUUGGAAGUAUUGGUUCAAUUCUAGCAUUCUUACACUGCUCCAUUCUUUCCACAAUUUCGCCAUUUUAGACUUUAGUAUAAUCUUCUCACUCCCUUUUAAUCUGCUGUCACUAAAUUGGUUCUGUUAUACUAUGUUUUGGUCAUUAAGAUAAGUAAUCUACCAUUACUUUUCUUUGUUCAAGAAUGUCAUGGGAAGAGCCAACGGGGAGGAAGAAGGAAAUGAAGAGGAGCCAACCAAACUUAAUUGGUAUAAAUGAAUUGAAGAUGAUGUUGUUUGGGUUAAGUAGAAACGGUGCCGUUUUGUCUUAAUUGAAUUGUAUUAAGUUUUGUUAAAACAAGUUUCCUCUAUUGCUUUUGGAAAACACGACUUUUUCUAUUUUGUGGCUAUAGAUACAGCCAUAGAUGCAUCGUGAAAAGGGUCUGUGUAAUCUAAUUUUUAGUAAAAUUGUUGAAAUCGUUCAACAGUUUUUCUUCCUCAUUUCUUGUUCAUUUUACAUCAUUUUCCUCUCCCCUUUCUAUUUUUCUUCUUUUCUUUGGUUAAAAUUUAGCUACCUUCAGCUGACUAGGGUUCAUUACGAGUUAUGGUAGAGGACAAGCUGCAACUGGGAUUCCAACCGUGACAAGUGGUAUCAGAUCUAAGGUUGUGGAAAAGUACCCGAAGAAGCUAGAUUUGGAGAUGGAAGAUUUGGGGACAGGUUUCAAAGCUGUUACUAGCAGUCUAGAGAAUAAACUUGAGUCCACAGACCAAACUUUUCAAGUACUGGGUAGUAGGCAAGAGAUAAUAGAAGAUGCUAAGCUAAAAUUGAACCAAAAAUAUGAGACGGCAGUUGCUUUUAUGGCUCAAAUCUCCACUGACUUGAAAACGAAACAGAAGAACAAGGGAAUAGCUGAAUCUAUAGCUGACUUGAGACCCGAAAAUGUGACUUCUACACCAGGAGCAAGUAGUAAUGAGGCUAGUCUUAUCACCAGAAUGAAGGGGAACACUAGGCUGCCUAAGAUUGAUUUCCCUCAUUUGGGGGGGGGGGGGGGGGGGGGGGGGACACUAGGUUGCCUAAGAUUGAUUUCCCUCAGGGGGGGGGGGGGGGGGGGAGGGGGAGAAGGGCCUAGGGAGUGGCUUAGGAAGGCUAGGAAGUAUUUUCAGAUGCAUCAGAAUCCUAAUGAACUUUGGUUAGGAAUUGCGGAGAUGUAAUUGAAGGGUAAGGCUGAUAUCUGGUUUGAUGGGUUCAUUGCAAGACAUCCCAGGGCAGAUUAGAACCUAUUCUCUGAAGAAAUCCACAGGAGAUUUGCAGAAGCCACAGGUAAAGAUGUGGUAGAGAGUUUUAGCAAAAUCAAACAAUUGAGUUCCAUAGAGGAAUAUCAAGUGAAAUUUGAGGGGUUGAGAUCACAGGUAAUGAUAGCAUUACCCCAUGUUCCAGAAUCUUAUUAUAUUGCUGUAUUUACUAGUGGUUUAAUAGGAGAAAUUAGAUCAAUGGUUAUAAUGAUGAAACUAAGUACGCUGGCUAAGGCAUUUGAGAUAGCUAGCCUGUAGGAAUCCACCAUUCAAGCCAUCCACAAAUUCCAAAAACUUAGGAGUUUCUCACCAAACAAACGGAAUCCCUAUUCUCCCAAUUUUCCUGAAGAAACCAAAAAUAAAAAACCAUGGCAAAAAACCAGUAAACCAACAAAUAACUACAAAACCAUCACCCCUACUGACUUUCAAACCAAAACGAACUUGGGACUCUGUUACAAAUGUGAUGAGAAGUACACCAUAGACCAUGUGUGCAAGAAUAUGUCCUUGAACUUUAUAUUGGUAGAUGAAGAUGAGGAAAAUGAACUAAAGGGAGAUGGAGAAUUCGAAUCAGGAGGUGAAGAAAUCAUGGAAAUUUCAAUCAAUGCAUUGACUGGAGAGUGGAAAAAUAAAACUAUUAGAGGGAAGAGGAGUAUCCAUACUGAUUGACAGUGGAAGCACAGACAGUUUUGUGGAUGAGGAAUUAGCCAAAGUAUUGAAAUAUGCUAUUGAUGGAACCAGUAAAGUAACAGUGAGAGCAACCAAUGGUGAUAAAUUAGAAAGUACAACAUUAUGCCAAGCUGUGGUAUGGAGGGUGCAAGACUAGGAGUUACAAUUCAAACUCAGGACCUUUGAAUUAGCAGGGAGUGACAUGAUGUUAGGUGUAGAUUGGAUGAGUCAGUUUGGUCCAAUUACCUUUGAUUUCCUAUAAGGAUGUGUCCAGUGCCAAGGCAAUAAUGAAGUGAUAAAAUUGAGGAGUGAAGUUUCUAAAGAUUUUGUCGAAUUAAUGGAGAUGAGAAAGGUGGAGAAAAUGUUUGGUAAGGAGCCUUAUGUGAUAGUGGGGACAAUUGUAUCAUAUCAAGGAGGAACGAUUAGAUCACAUGAUCAUCACAUUCCCUUGAAGGAACGAGCACAUGCAUUUAAAAUCAGACCCUAUAUAUGCUCUUUUAUUCAGAAGAUAGAAAUAGAGAAGCUAGUAGUGGAGAUGCAAAGAUACAAACUAAACCAAUAGUUAAAGGAGAACCUUUCACAGUGACUGGAGGAGAGUUAUGAAUAGCAACCUGAGCACAAAUUAUUGUCCAUGUUAAAUAUCCGGAUAGUAACAAAGAAGAAUUCUUUAGCAGAACAAUGGUUUAUUCAUUUGGCAGACUCUAUCCUAAUAGCGUGACUUGGGAAGAUACAGACUAUCAUAGUUCCCUCUCUUUAGAUCUUGGGGAUAAUAUCAAGGAGAGGGUGAGGGUUGUCAUGGGAAGAGCCAACGGGGAGGAAGAAGGAAAGGAAGAGAAGCCAACCGAACUUAACUGGUGCAAAUGAAUUGAAGAGGACGUCGUUUGGGUUAAGUAGAAAAGAUGUUGUUUUGUCUUAAUUGAAUUGUAUUAAGUUUUGUUAAAACACGUUUCUUCUAUUGCUUUUGGAAAACAUGACUUUUUCUAUUUUGUGGCUAUAGAUACAGCCAUAGAUGCAUCGUGAAAGGGGUCUCUGUAUUCUGAUUUUUAGUAAAAUUGUUGAAAUCGUUCAACAACUUUUCUCCCUCAUUUCUUGUUCAUUUUACAUCAUUUUCCUCUCCUCCCUUUCUAUUUUUCUGCUUUUCUUUGGUUACAAUUUAGCUACUUUCAGUUGACUAGGGUUUAUUACAAGUUACGACGGAGGACGAGCUGCAACUGGGUUUCGAACCGUGAUAAUGUUAUAGCUAACUAUGUAUUGGGUCAUUUAUCUUAGUUAGUUGGGCUUGUAUUAUAUUUGGGCUAGCCCAAAGCCCAUUACUUUUAGGUUGUUUUGUAUAUGAUUUUGGUGGAAGACGAUGAAGAGGUGGAAUGUUGAAUUGAAAUUGACUGUUGCCGAUCGUCUUCCCCCUCCCUCUGUUGCUUCUUCUUCUUCUCUUCUGUGUUUCUUCUGGUAAACUUCUUCUUCUUCUGCUUACACUUAUUUUCUUUUCUUCUUCUAUCUUUAUCUUCAUCUCCUCUUCUUCUUAGUUCUACUUCUUCCUAGUUUCUCUCGCUUUUUUCUCUUCUUCUCUAGUUCUUCCUCUCCUCUUCUUCUAUUCUUAAUCUUCUCUAGUUCUCUAUCUCUUUCUUGUUCUGUCGAACCAUAUCUUUGUCUUUAUAUUUAUCUUGUAAAUUGUAAUUCUCCUACAUUGUAAUGGAAUCAUCUAUUAAUGGAAUCAAUGGUUGAUUUUGGUUAGACAUAAAUUGGUUCGUGUUUGUAAGUUCAUUUUAUAUUCCUCACUUUGAGCAAUUAUAAUUUAUAUUCUGCUUUCUGAGUUAUAAUUGCUGGUUAUUGGUUAAGUUAGUUGAAAAUUGGGCUCCAACCAUAACAAGUGAUAUCAGAGCAACUACGUGAUUUGGGAGUGGCCUUUAAAACAAACGACCAGAUGCUACAGGGUAUUUGUACUAGCCUGGACUGGAUGGAACAAAUGAUGGGAGGAAGAAGGCUACAUGGGAGUCUAUGGUGUGAUUGCGAAGAAAAACAAAUAGAAGUAUAUGCGUCACCAUCUCAAACCAGUAGGGGAAUCCUUAGAAGAUAUGAAAUUCAUUCCGGGUUCUCUAGAGAAAACCGAGAGGCUAAAAUGGAUUUUCCACAUUUUUGGAGAGAAGGACGACCUAGGAAAUGGCUAAGGAAGCCAGAAAGUACUUCCAACUCCAUCACAUUUCGGAUGAACUAAGGCUAGGAAUGGCUAAUAAGUACUUGGAAAGGAGAGCUUACAUAUGGUUUUAUGGAUUCAUUGCAAACCAUCUUGGGUCGGAUUGGAACUUGUUUUCAGAUGAGCUUUGUAGGAGAUUUUCAGAAACUAUUGAGGAAGAAUCCCAAAAUAAUGAUGGUUCAAGAAUUUUUUUGGAUGAUCAUGAAAAUGAGAUAGGAAAAAAUGUGAAACUGAUGGAGCCCAGAAGUUUGAAGGAGAUUAAGGAAGAAAGUCAAGAGAGAUUUAGUAUGGUGAAGGUUUUUGAUCGAGAUGUUGAGAGACAAGUGAUUGUAAAGAAACUAGAUAAGGAAGUAAAGAGUGUUUGUUCAACUAAAGUAACUAAUGAAAGCAACGAAAGCACUAGUGUUGUGGAGAUGUAUAGCAAAUCAAGUGAGAGGCAAUCAGAAGAUUCAAACAACGUUGAGUUAAAUGAUCAAAUUUCAAGAGUAGAUACAAAAGAAUCUUCUGGUUAUAGUGCAAAUUUAAGAAGUGUUGGAUAUGCGAAGGAAUGUUCAAUUGAAAAACACAGAAAUACGAUCUCACCUUUUGUAAAUGUGACUAUGCUUGAUGAGAAUUCUAAAGUAGAUGUGUUGACAAGUGGAAAAGAUGCGUAUUUCAUCAGUGGCCAAACCUGGCUCAGUAUAGCUGAUAUAGACAAUAAUGGAAUUAUGACUUCUACAGAAUGGAGAGGUUUUCUUCUUCUUUAUCCACAAGAGGCUACAAUAGAAAACAUAUAUUGCUAUUUUGAUAGGGUACAUAUUGUAGAUAUGGACGAACAUGCCACGGUUCAUAUAGUCAUCAACUAGCAUGUUUAUGCAUCCAAGUAUCUGAUUGAAGUUAUAAAUUUAUGGAUCAUGUUAGCUAAGAAAAACCAAGAAGAUGAGACGAAUGAAGCAUACGCCAUCUUGCACUACUUGCUUAAUUUGAGAGUGGUGAAGAGAAUGAGGCAACUACUAACUACAUACUAAGAAGACAUCCCAAUUUUGAACCUUGAAGACAAGGUUAAUUUAAGGGGAAGGGAUGUAAUGGCUAACUGUGUAUUGGGGCAUUUAUCUUAGUUAGUUGGGCUUGUAUUAUAUUUGGGCUAGCCCAAAGCCCAUUACUCUUAGGUUGUUCUAUAUAUGAUUUUGGUGGAAGACGAUGAAGGGGUGGAAUGCCGAAUUGAAAUUGGCUAUUGUCGGUCGUCUUCUCCCUCCCUUUGCUGCUGCUUCUUCUUCUUCUUCUUUUACAUUCGAUCUAAUAAGUACCUUGUGUCAGAAUUGAGAAAUUCUAUGGCUCGGAUCUUUAGUAUUCUUCUUCUUCUUCUUCUUCUUCUUCUUCUUCUUCUUCUUCUUCUUCUUCUCCUCCUCCUCCUCCUCCUCCUCCUCCUUCUUCGUCGUCGUCGUCGUCGUCUUCGUCUUCUUCCUCGUCCUCUUCCUCUUCCUCUUCCUCUUCCUCUUCGUCGUCUUCCUUCUUCUUCUUCUUCCUCUUCUUCUUCUUCCUCUCCUCUUCUUCUAUUCUUGAUCUUCUCCAGUUCUCUAUCUCUUUCUUGUUCUAUUGAACCAUAUCUUUGUCUUUAUGUUUAUCUUGUAAAUUGUAAUUCUCCUACAUUGUAAUGGAAUCAUCUAUUAAUGGAAUCAAUGGUUGAUUUUGGUUAGACAUAAGCUCGUUCGUGUUUGUGAGUUCAGUUUAUAUUCCUCACUUUGAGCAUUUAUAAUUUAUAUUCUGCUUUUGGAGUUAUAAUUACUGGUUAUUGGUUGAGUUAGUUAAAAAUUGAGCUCCAACUAUAACAAAGAACUCCCACGAGGAUCUAGGAAACUAUGGAAGUAGUGGAUUAAGGGAUUAUCAUCCCUUAAGCCUAAUAAUUAUAUUUGAUAAGUGCUUGACUAUUUCACUCAUCAAUUAGUUGCUAUAAAUUCUGUGUAUUCUGUAUUUGAAUUGUAUAACCUACUUUACGGUCUUGCGUAAAUCACAUGAUAAGUAAGCUUGAAUCUAUUUUCGUGUUCUAUCCUGAUAUUUGAAUAUCCUGAAAUUCUACCAUAUUACUUGAAUAAAAUAUACUCUGUGUAUUGUAUAAUUUUGUUAUUGUGAUUCUAUCAUUAAUAUGUCCAAUGCAUAUAAAUUUGAAGUUGAAAUUUAGAAUGGUACUAGAAACUUUAAUCUCUGGCGUCAGAAAGUGAGAGCUCUGUUAUUACAACAGAGAUGUGAUGUUGUCCUUGAUAGAACUUGAGCUACAGAAGUUAGUGCCUAUAGAAGACAAGAAUUAGAUGAGGUAGCUUGGAAUUCUAUUUUUCUUCACCUAUCUGAUAGUGUGAUUAGGAAAGUUGGUGAAACCACCACAGCUAAAACACUUUGGACUAAGUUAGGUACACUUUCCUAACUAAAACUAUGCCAAAUAAAUGGUACCACUUGAGAUAAUUCUAUAACUUUAGGUUUGACUCUUCCUCUAGCCUCAAAGUAAAUAUUGAUAAGUUUACUAAACUUAUUUAAGAUUUAGCUAAAUAUGAUGAAAAAUUAUCUGAUGAUCAACAAGUUGUUGCUAUGUUGAAUUCUCUAAGUGAUAAAUACGGGGAAAUCAAAAAAUGCCUUGAAAUAUGGGAGAGAAGACCUUACUAUUGACAUCAUAACCUCAGCCUUGAGAAACAUAGAAUUUGAAUUAAAAUUUGAGUUCAAAGAUUCUAAAAUUAGUGAAGGUUUAGGUGUCAAGGAAAAAUUGAUCCAAAAUAAAAUAAAAAAUUUGAGUAAUUAUAACUCUUAAUUUGUGCAAUUAUAACUCUUAUAAGAAAGGUAAACUCCAAAAUUUUAGAUUCAAAGGAUAAGAAUAAGAAUCAAGUGAAAUCUAAGAAGCAAGUCAAGAAAUGCUAUUAUUGUGAAAAAACUGGACAUUUAAUAGAGAUUGCUUUAAGAAAAUAUCUAAUAUGAAGGAUAAAAACAACUAUGAUGGUCUUGCAAUCAUUAUCUACAAGAAUGAACCUGAUAUACAAGGAGUUGUCUUUGCCAAUACAAUCAAAAGAAAUCCGAAGCAAUGGACUCUUGAUUCUGGUUGUACUUUGUAAUUUCCACAUGUGCCCUAUAAAAGAAUAGUUUACUAAAUUUGUUGAUCUCAAUGGGGAACAAGUUCAAUUGGGCAAUGACAUGAGUAGUCAGAUAAAAGGAAUUAGAAAAUUAAAACUUUUGUUGAAAAAUAAUAUUCUUUAACUGAAUGACACUAGAUAUGUGCCUGAAUUGCAAAGAAAAUUGAUUUUCUUAGGUGAAUUAGAUAAAGAAUAUGAUAUAAGAAUUCAUAAAGGUUUUAAAAAAUUGAAUCUUGAUGGUAAAGAAAUUAUCUCCUUUCCCAAGAUUAAUGGAAUCUACACCUUGCAGGCCAAAACUUUAGUUGGUUACAGUUCUGUAGCUAUGAGUUCUAUUUUCGAUAAGUCUUUAUUCUGGCAUAAAAGACUUGACCACAUUAGUGAAAAGGGAUUAAUCAUUUCAAACAAACUUGGAAGUUUUGAAAAUGAUAAUGUUGAAAGGUUAAAUUUUUGUGAAGAAUGCGUUAUUGAAAAACAAAACAGAUUACCUUUUAAAUUUGGAAUUCAUAAAUCCCCUCUAUUUUGGAUUGUUUACAUGUUGACCUGUAGGUUUAGCAUCUGUAAAUACACUAAGGGAAUUUAGAUUCUAUCCAUUUUAUAGUAGAUGAUUUUUCAAGAAAAAUAUAGACUUUUCUUUUGAAACAAAAAUCAGAUCCUUUUCAAAAUUUUAGACAAUAAAAAUUGAUGAUUAAAAAUCAAAUCAACAAGAAAGUCAAAGCACUUAUUACAGAUAAUGGCCUCGAAUUUUAUAACUUUAAAUUUGCUUUUUCUAAUAAAAACUCUGGAAUUUUAAAGCAUAGAACUAACAUAUACACCUCAGCAAAAUGGUGUUGUUAAGAUGAUGAAUAGAACUUUAUUGGAAAAAAUCAAGUGCAUGUUGCUUAGUUCUAAUCUUCCCAAUCUUUUAUUGGGUUGAAGCCUUCAAAUUGCCACUUAUUUUAUAAAUAGAAGUUCAUCAAACGCCAUUGACUUUCAAAUCUCUGAAAAAAUUGUGGUUUGGUAAGUCAUCGGAUUAUACUAGACUUAGGGUUUUUGGCUGCACAAUCUAUUCUCAUCAAAGUAAGGUAAACUUGAACCAAAAUCUAUAAAACUUGUUUUUUCUAGGUUAUGGAGAGCAAACCAAAGGCUAUAGACUUUAGGUUAAACUUAAAAAUGGUUUCAAGGUCAUCAUUAGUAAGAAUGUCAUCUUCAGUGAAAAUGAUGUCUUGUAAUGCUUCAUCAGAUUUGAAAUUUGUUAGAACUACCUGUUAGGGAAAUUGUUUUCAGAAAUUAAGAAGAAAACUUUAUUGUUCCCAAUGAUUUGAUUAUGGUGGAGACUAUCCAAUUUGAAAUAAAUUAUGAUCAAGUCGUAUCGAAAAAUGUAGCUGAAUCUCAAAAUCCCGUUCUUGCUUAUUAGUAACUGACAAGAUAAUUGAAGUAGAAGAAAUAGAUUUCCUUCUACUAGAAUCAACAAUGAUGAUUUUGUGACUUUGUUUUCUGCAUUAGACUCCUUAAAUUAUUAACUAACUACUUUUGAUGAGGUAAUUAACUAUUAUAAAUCAAAUUUUUGGAAAGAAGCCAUAAAAGAUGAGAUGGACCUUCUUAUUAAUAGUAAAACUUAGAUUUUGGUUAACAAACAUAAAAAACAAAAGAUAGUGGACUGUAAGUUGAAUUUUAAAAUCAAAGAAGGAGAUUCUAAUGUAAAAAAACAAAAGAUAUAAGGCCAGACUUGGCUAAAGGUUUAUUUCAAAUAGAGAAAAUCUACUAUAAUGAAAUAUUUCGUCGGUUACAAAAUAUAAUUCAAUUAGAAUUUUGCUUCCUUUGAAUGCUCAUUUUAACUGGAAAUUGGACCAGCUUGAUGUUAAAAAUACCUUUUCUAAAUGGUGAUCGAUGAGGUCAUUUACAUGAGUCAACCAAAGGGUUUUGAAGUUAAUUCAAAAUUUGAAAAGGUAUAUUUGUUAAAAAAAAUGCUCUUUAUGGCUUAAAACAAGCCCCUAGACAAUGAUAUAAGAAAUUGAACUCAUAUGUUCAAAAUUUGGGUUUUGCUAAAAACAACUUUGAUUCAUGUUUAUUCUAUAAAGGUUCAGUAGGACCUGAAUCCGUUUAGUUGUUAUUAUAUGUUGAUGACAUGUUUCUUGCUUGCCACGACAAAUUUGAAAUAGAUUUAAUUAAGUUAAAAUUGAAAUCUGAAUUUGAAAUGAAAGAUCUAGGAAAAGCUAAUAUAAUUCUUGGAAUGGAAAUUAAAAGCGAUAUGAAUAAUUGCAUUCUUUAUUUGAAUCAACGAUCUUAUGUGAAAAAAAUACUUGAAAGAUUGUCUAUUCUUGAAUGUAAACAUGUUUCACUUCCUAUUGCUAAUUAUUUUAAAAUCUCUAGUGAAUAGUCCCCUAAAACUGAUGAUGAAUUUGAAAGAAUGGAAAAUUUUCCUUAUGCUAAUACUAUAGGGUCAAUUAUAUAUCUCAUGGUGUGUACUAAACGUGACUUGGCUCAUGGUAUAAGUAUUCUUAAUUGAUUUAUGGCAAAUCCAGGGGAAAGACACUGGUUGGCUAUUAAGUGGAUGCUAAAAUAUUUCAAAGGUCCAUUUGACUUAGAUUUAAAAUUUAAAAGACGCAAUGAAGGCAUAACUCUUAAAGUUUAUACUGAUUUUGAUUUUGCUUGAGAUUUAGAUAAAGGAAGAUCCACUUUAUCUUGUAUUUUUACUUGGUGUGAUGGAUGUGUUAGUUGAAAAUCUCAAUUACAAAAACUUGUUGCCUUAUCUCCUACAAAGGUAGAAUAUAUUGAUGCAUAUGAUACUGUUAAAGAAAAUCUUUGGUUAAGAGGAUUGUAAAAUGAAAUUGGUUCCAUAAAUGAUAUGAUUAAGGUUAAUACAGAUAAUCAAAGUUCCCCUCACUUUAGCAAAAAUCCUAUUCAUGAUAGAAUCAAACAUGUUGAUAUGAAAUUUCAUUUUGUGAGAAACAUGGUUGAGAAAGGCCUAACUAGUCUAGUAAAAAUUCCUAUGGGGUUCAAUACUUUUGAUCUUGGAACUAAGAUAUUGCCUUUAAAUAAAUUCAAAAAUUACUUGAAAAUUCUAGAUAUUACAUGGAAGGUUGUAAAUUUAGAAUAUAAAGCUGUAUCGUCUUUGAAUGUUUUCUAACUUUGUUUAUUUUGUUUUUACAGAUAACAAGUGCAAGUGAAACAAGUUGAUGUCAAGAUACAUUAGUUAAUGCAAAGAAUAGUUCAACAAGGAGGAUAUUAUUGUGUUGGGGCUGCCUCAGUAUUAUUGGACUUAUUGGACUUGGGCUGUUGGGUUUGUACUUCCGGAUCUUAGCCCAUGACUUGGUAAACCGAGUUUCCUUGAAGUGCAACUUUUGACUUCUUUAAUGGUUGUGAUUUAGUUGUACACGUUGCCAUCUCCUAGCUGUUGGAUUUAUGUGACUCUUGGUGUUGAUACUUAGCCUCAUACGCCUCUAUCCUUUGAUUGUUGGUUGAUAUUUUGAGUUAUUUUUUUGGCUUUUCCUCUGAGUUCUAUACUCUUCUUCUUCGUGUUCAAUCUUUGUAAUCUUUCGAUGAAAUGUUCUUGGUUGUAUUUAAUGUGCAAUCUAAGAGAUUGUGAGGAGCAUAUUAUGUCGUAAUAGUAGAGAGGCGAGAUAAACUUUAGUAAAGAAUCUCUAAUUUCUUCAUACAUUUGCACCUAUUUUUAGUUGAUUCUAUUGGAUCAAAAGCGAUAUCUACUUGUAUAUGCCCAACGCAGUAAUUAGACCGGAGGCUGGACAUUCAGGCCUUUAGGGCUAAAAACAAUUCUCUGUGUUCUCCUUAUUUUGAGUUCUGCAAUUUAUUUUCUUGCAAAUGUUUUUGGUUUAAAUUGGAUUGUAGAAACUGUUUUGGAACCAACAGAUUCAAUGUAUACUCUUGAACGUAAUGGGUUCUUAUAUUUGAUAACAUUAUAUCUAGA
rnacentral:lncRNA from 1 species